UUUUCCAGGUCUCGGUUCCUGCUUUUCCUGUUCCUAAAACCAUCUGCAUUCAGCAGUCAUCAUUCAGGAACUGCCUCACUGAUAACAACAGCCAUCUCUUGGACAACUCCAGGGAAAAACAUCCUUUCUACAAUUUUCUAACCUGGUCCAAGAGGUUAGCUGAUUAGAGACCUGCAGCAUCAAGAAUGGCAACUUCUACUCCAAAAAGUUAAAAAAUUUACAGAGGACAAUGAUGUGCAGCCUCCUAAUUUUUGUGGGAUAAAUGAUCAGCUUUCUGAAGAUGGGUAUUUCUGUGGAUUGGAUUCUGUUUUGCUGAAGUAUGCCCGUGUGAAGAAAAACUCAGUCUUUUCCCAGGCUUGAGAUUUGCAUUGAACAGGAAGACUAUGUUCACUCUUCUGAGGCUAAUGACCAAGUGAAUUUUCCCUCCCUCAGGCUGUUAUUUACCGAAGACUAUCAGACUUUGGUCACUCUCAGUGCUAGCACUUCUUUGGAUGCCUCUUUAGGGAAAUCAAUGUUCAUAUCACUUCAAACAUAGCUUUAUAGGGGGAAUGCAUAUUUCAAAUAUUAUCUGUAUAUUGUGACCACAAUAUAUUGUGAAUGUAGCUCUAUUAAUACACCCUAAAGUAAGCAACAGAAAGAACAGAUGGAAAAGAGUUUUAAAGCCUUUGUAAGAAAUCCCAAGUAGUUUCCAGAAACUAUGUCAAAGUUAGCAUAACAAUAAUUGCACCCACAGUUGUUCCUUCUAGAAAGAUUUGAUACGGUAUGUAUAGGACUUCAUUGUUUUGUAUUGCAUUUCUACAGCUUUUAGUCUCAUUUAGAGUUUGGAAAGUGAAGCUAUUGGAAACUUGGCUUUUCUCCCCUAGCUGAGGGCCAACCAAAACACUGGAUAUGUCUUGUCAGAUGUAAAUGAUAGGAUACUAUGUUGUGAUGUGUGUCUUUUAGAGACCAAAUCCCUGUUUGUAGAGGUUUUAUGUUGACAUGGGAAUCAUGCGCCACUUCAUCAGGAGUUUCAUUCUCAAACCAAUGUAAUUAUAAUAAAAUACAAUAAAGUAGAACCAAGCCACAACUAAAGCA